UACGUAGGGUCCGAGCGUUGUCCGGAAUUAUUGGGCGUAAAGGGCUCGUAGGCGGUUUGUCGCGUCGGGAGUGAAAACCUACAGCUUACUGUGGGCUUGCUUUCGAUACGGGCAGACUUGAGGCAUGCAGGGGAGAACGGAAUUCCUGGUGUAGCGGUGAAAUGCGCAGAUAUCAGGAGGAACACCGGUGGCGAAGGCGGUUCUCUGGGCAUGUUCUGACGCUGAGGAGCGAAAGUGUGGGGAGCGAACAGG
rnacentral:rRNA from 1 species